CCUACGGGUGGCAGCAGUGAGGAAUAUUGGUCAAUGGACGCAAGUCUGAACCAGCCAUGCCGCGUGCAGGAAGACGGCUCUAUGAGUUGUAAACUGCUUUUGUACGAGGGUAAACGCAGAUACGCGUAUCUGUCUGAAAGUAUCGUACGAAUAAGGAUCGGCUAACUCCGUGCCAGCAGCCGCGGUAAUACGGAGGAUUCAAGCGUUAUCCGGAUUUAUUGGGUUUAAAGGGUGCGUAGGCGGUCGGAUAAGUUAGAGGUGAAAUCCCGAGGCUCAACUUCGGAAGUGCCGGUGAUACUGUUCGGCUAGAGAGUGGGAGAGGUAGGCGGAAUGUGUGGUGUAGCGGUGAAAUGCUUAGAGAUCAUACAGAACUCCGAUUGCGAAGGCAGCUUACCGGGCUACUUCUGACGUUGAGGCACGAAAGCGUGGGGAGCGAACAGGAUUAGAUACCCCAGUAGUC
rnacentral:rRNA from 1 species